GUGGAUAUGGUAGCGCCGAGUGGCCUAGGGAGCGUUUGUGGAACUGUAUACCUCCACUAGCGUGCCUCCCCUAAAGCUGGCCCCCUCGGGGUCCCCUGGAGACAGGGAGCAGGCACGCCGGCGGCCAAGUUAACUCUUGUUUUUACACUGAAACUCUGAGAAAAAAACACAAAUGAAUCAAAACUUUCAACAACGGAUCUCUUGGUUCUGGCAUCGAUGAAGAACGCAGCGAAAUGCGAUAAGUAAUGUGAAUUGCAGAAUUCAGUGAAUCAUCGAAUCUUUGAACGCACAUUGCGCCCUCUGGUAUUCCGGAGGGCAUGCCUGUUCGAGCGUCAUUUCAACCCUCAAGCAUUGCUUGGUGUUGGGGCACUGCCUGUAAAAGGGCAGGCCCUGAAAUCUAGUGGCGAGCUCGCUAGGACCCCGAGCGUAGUAGUUAAACCCUCGCUUUGGAAGGCCCUGGCGGUGCCCUGCCGUUAAACCCCCAACUUUUGAAAAUUUGACCUCGGAUCAGGUAGGAAUACCCGCUGAACUUAAGCAUAUCAAUAAGCGGAGGAA
rnacentral:rRNA from 1 species